AGGGGAUGGCAUCGCGGGGUGGGGGGACUGGCGCAAAAUGUCACAAGAAAAGAGCAUCAUCACAGAGAGCGUACGGACACCACUACACCAUCUGAACAGGGUCUGAAAACUGGAUUAAACUUACUUUUGGAGCUUUGACUUGUUAUGGUGAUGCCGGAUUUAUCAAGUACACAGUCUUGGCAUAACCAGCAGGAUCAGAUGACACAGGUGGACUCCCCACUGGCCUCACUGUGUUUAUCGUCCUGGACUGUUGGUGGAGAUGUCCUGUCCUGUCCUGGGUUGGCACAUACAGUCAAGAGAAAGAAUGCCUUGUGCUCUGAUGAAUAUUAAGAUGAGAAACAUAAUUUGGGCCAAAUCCAAACAGACUAAAAGAUGUAAAAAUGCAACUACAGCAGGGUGUGUCCCUCUCUCUCUCUCACCCAUCCCCUCUGUGAAUAAGCGUCCAGGCAAAGUGUUUCAAGGUCAGAGGAGGUGUAGAGGGAUCACGGUGAAAGAUGGGCAGUGAGGGUGUUGGGCUGAGAAGCAGUGAGAGCGUAAAUCAGAUGUUUGAGCACGAGCAGGGGGGUAAAAUGAGGAAUAACAGGAUGCCACGGUUAAAUAGGUGGUGAGAGAGCAGGCUGAUCCACUGGUGAGAGAUGCCCAAACGUUUAGUCAAACCUAUAGAAACUUCUGCUGUAAUUUCACAUACUUGACGAUGUUGGUGAAAAUAAAAGGAGCUUCAGAAAUCAGGGAAAAUGCAAAAGGAGGCUGCAGAGAAAGAGAACAAGAAAUCAGUGAUAUCAGUGAUACGCAGGUUCAAAGAUUUGUUGAAAUGUCCUAUUACUUCUUAAAAAAUGUAACUGAGAGAGACAGAAAGUGGCACGAAAAUGCAGCUGUCACCCUUUACUAUUGCCCAGAAUAAAAAACAAAGAGCUACCCACUUGCAGAAACAUGUCCAACUGAUGUGAAUAUGUAUUUGUGUUUACUAGAGUACAGAACAUUUUAUUCUCUCCUCUCGAGCCACGCCCCGGAAGAGCUCAGACCUCAGCCACGAUGCAGCACAUCAGCCGCCCUCCUCCCUCCUUUUGUUUACAGGAAGCAGCUGAGGGGCUAAAACCUUCCAGCAGACCUGUCAAGUCUCACUCAUCUUAUCUAUGUUUUCGUAGGUUCACCGUGUCCACAUCAACACGUUCCUCCGGUCACUGAUGACAGCGUGACAGCUCUUAGGCAUGACUGAAGCAACAAAACAGUACAUUCUUAACAUCAGAGCGCAGCAUGGGGCCUGUAAACAACAUUUUGUCAAAUUAAGCUCAGAUAUACAAAGUUAACCUUUAGUUGCAUGAAAAUUUCCACUGACUGCAUAAAGGCACAGCCCUGCCACGUUAAGAUAAAACCUGUUGCUAGUGGCAACAGCACAGAGAUACAGCCAAUCAAGAUGACACUGCUGUCACUGUGGACAUGAUAAAUAUCACCAAGUCUCUUAUAAGCCAUUAGAGCUAAAUUCCUUUGGAUUAUUUUAUGUUGCUGGUUUUGAAAAAAAAAAGAAAUUUGCAUGUCACCUGAGGGCUGGCACAAGUCCCUGUAGGAUGAUAUAAAACCAUCUGGAUAAA